AUUGAACGCUGGCGGCAUGCCUUACACAUGCAAGUCGAACGGCAGCACGGGAGCAAUCCUGGUGGCGAGUGGCGAACGGGUGAGUAAAGUAUCGGAACGUGCCCAGUCGUGGGGGAUAACGUAGCGAAAGUUACGCUAAUACCGCAUACGAUCUAUGGAUGAAAGCGGGGGAUCGCAAGACCUCGCGCGAUUGGAGCGGCCGAUAUCAGAUUAGGUAGUUGGUGGGGUAGAGGCUCACCAAGCCGACGAUCUGUAGCUGGUCUGAGAGGACGACCAGCCACCCUGGGACUGGGACACGGCCCAGACUCCUACGGGAGGCAGCAGUGGGGAAUUUUGGACAAUGGGCGAAAGCCUGAUUCAGCCAUGCCGCGUGCAGGAUGAAGGCCUUCGGGUUGUAAACUGCUUUUGUACGGAACGAAAAGGUUUGGCCUAAUAAGCUGAGCUCAUGACGGUACCGUAAGAAUAAGCACCGGCUAACUACGUGCCAGCCGCCGCCGUAA
rnacentral:rRNA from 1 species